rnacentral:rRNA from 1 species
GUGAAAAAGAACCUGAAACCGUGUACGUACAAGCAGUGGGAGCACAGGUUUACCUGUGUGACUGCGUACCUUUUGUAUAAUGGGUCAGCGACUUAUAUUCUGUAGCAAGGUUAACCGAAUAGGGGAGCCGUAGGGAAACCGAGUCUUAACCGGGCGUUAAGUUGCAGGGUAUAGACCCGAAACCCGGUGAUCUAGCCAUGGGCAGGUUGAAGGUUGGGUAACACUAACUGGAGGACCGAACCGACUAAUGUUGAAAAAUUAGCGGAUGACCUGUGGCUGGGGGUGAAAGGCCAAUCAAACCGGGAGAUAGCUGGUUCUCCCCGAAAGCUAUUUAGGUAGCGCCUCGUGAAUUCAUCUCCGGGGGUAGAGCACUGUUUCGGCUAGGGGGCCAUCCCGGCUUACCAACCCGAUGCAAACUGCGAAUACCGGAGAAUGUUAUCACGGGAGACACACGGCGGGUGCUAACGUCCGUCGUGAAGAGGGAAACAACCCAGACCGCCAGCUAAGGUCCCAAAGUCAUGGUUAAGUGGGAAACGAUGUGGGAAGGCCCAGACAGCCAGGAUGUUGGCUUAGAAGCAGCCAUCAUUUAAAGAAAGCGUAAUAGCUCACUGGUCGAGUCGGCCUGCGCGGAAGAUGUAACGGGGCUAAACCAUG